ACCUGGCUGGCUCAGUAGGUAGAGUGUGUGACUCUUGACCUCAGGGUGUGGGUUUGAGCCCCACAUUGGGUG
rnacentral:tRNA from 1 species